CCUACGGGUGGCUGCAGUCGAGAAUCUUCGGCAAUGGGCGCAAGCCUGACCGAGCGACGCCGCGUGCGGGAUGAAGGCCUUCGGGUUGUAAACCGCUGUCAGAGGGGAGGAAAUGCAUGGGAGUUCUCUCUCAUGUUUGACCUAUCCUCAGAGGAAGUACGGGCUAAGUUCGUGCCAGCAGCCGCGGUAAUACGAACCGUACGAUCGUUAGUCGGAUUGACUGGGCUUAAGGCGGGCGUAGGCGGGUGUGAAAGCCCUCGGCUCAACCGAGGAAUUGCGCCCAAAACUACCUGGCUUGAGGAAGAUAAAGGUAAGCGGAACUAAUGGUGGAGCGGUGAAAUGCGUUGAUAUCAUUAGGAACACCUGUGGCGAAAGCAGCUUACUGGGUCUUUUCUGACGCUGAUGCACGAAAGCUAGGGGAGCGAACGGGAUUAGAUACCCGAGUAGUC
rnacentral:rRNA from 1 species